GAUAAACGCUGGCGGCGUGCCUAACACAUGCAAGUCGAACGCCCUUUUGCGCAAGUGAGAGGGAGUGGCGGACGGGUGAGUAGCACGUGGGUACCUACCCCAAGAUGAGGAAUACCACCGAGAAAUCGGUGACAAGACCGCAUACCUUCGGCCACGAAGAAAGCUUCUCCUCACGAGAGGCGUCUUGGGAUGGGCCUGCGCCUGAUUAGCUGGUUGGUGAGGUAACAGCNCACCAAGGCGACGAUCAGUAGCUGGUCUGAGAGGAUGAUUAGCCACACUGGGAUUGAGAACGGCCCAGACUCCUACGGGGGCAGCAGUGAGGAAUUUUCGUCAAGUGGGGCAACCCUGAACGAGCAACGCCGCGUGCAGAAUGAC
rnacentral:rRNA from 1 species